rnacentral:rRNA from 1 species
ACGCUCGACACCUACGGGAGGCAGCAGUGGGGAAUAUUGGGCAAUGGGCGCAAGCCUGACCCAGCAACGCCGCGUGAAGGAAGAAGGCCCUCGGGUUGUAAACUUCUUUUAUCAGGGACGAAGCAAGUGACGGUACCUGAUGAAUAAGCCACGGCUAACUACGUGCCAACAGCCGCGGUAAUCUGAGCGGGCUGGCAAGGC